AUGUUCAGUGACCAAUAUUUGGAUAAAGAAGAAAAGAGCAAAAUUAUGGAUGUUGUUUUCCAGUGGCUCACAACAGGAGACAUCCAUCUGAACCAGAUUGAUGCUCAGGACCCAGAGAUCUAUGAUUACAUGAUGCUGACGGACACUGCCACUCUGUCAGAGCGAUUGCAAGCAUGUCUCCAGGAGGGCAAUGAGAACCCGCGUGACUUCACCACCCUCUUCGACUUGUCUGUUUACCAGUUGGAUACCACCUCCCUCCUCAAGGUCAUCAAGGCUCAUGAGGAGCUAAAUGUGAAACAUGAACCACUCCAGCUCAUCCAGCCUCAAUUUGAGACGCCGCUGUCUGCCCUUCAGCCUGCUGCCCGGCUUGCUCAGAUUACCAAUAAAUGUACUGAAGAAGACCUGGAAUUCUAUGUCAGGAAGUGUGGUGACAUUCUUGGAGUAACCAGUAAGCUACCAACGGAUCAACAGGAUGCCAAACAUAUCCUUGAGCACAUCUUCUUCCAAGUGGUGGAAUUCAAGAAACUGAACCAGGAACAUGAUGUGGAUACAAGUGAAAUGGCAUUCCAAAACAAUUUCUGAGGACUGUGCCUCUCCAAGUAUUUUCUGCCUCUUGAGUCUCUCUUUGUAUUUUGAAUUGUUCUUCAGUUCCUCACCAGUGUGUAUACCCUCUUUGCUCUGUGAAAUGUAGGUCUUUGCAUCGCUUAUAGUGCCUAGAUAGGUAAGGUUUGUAACUUACAGAAACUUUAUGGAAGAGACAUUCCAUUUUUAAAAAAUCAAAUCUAUUAUUGAAUCUGUGCUUUUAUCAUUUAUGAAAGUCUAUCAUUGAAGUCUUUUUCCUGACUUCAGUUCAGGAUUUGAGUCUUUUUUAUUAAAGGUACACAUAACUCUCAAAAAAAAAAACCUAGCUGAGGAUGUGGCUGAGGGGUACAGUACAUGCCUAGCAUGCACAAGGCCAUGGCCUAGCACUACUGAACAACAAAAACAAAAGCAAUUAGACAGAAACAGAUGUUAGAGAUGAUACAGUGAUAUAAUGAAAGUACUGUACUUGCUAAAGUGAGGUAAAAGGAAGAAAUAAGGACUGAGAGAGAGGAGGAAGGGAGGGGGUGAGGAGGGAGUAACUGUGUUAACCUAGAAUUUUUUAACCAACUAAUUUAUAAUCAACUGCCAACAAUUUUUUUAAAAAUUCAGGGGCAGGGGACAUAGCUCAGUAGUAUAACACUUGCCUAAUAAGCAUAAGGCUUGCUUAUAUGCCCUGGGUUCAAUCCUCAGCACCACAGAAAAAAAUAAUUCAGACAUAAAAAGUCAAAAGGAACUUAUUGGCCAUAGAUCUCCAUUAUGAGAAUUAAUAAAAACAGAGAAGCAAGUCCAAAUGGAAACACAGGAUACUGAAAACAACAAGUAUAGAAAAAAAAAUGAUGGGAAAUAUAAUUAAUUAUUUUGAUCAAACUGAUUAUUGAUGACUUUAUGUUGAUAUUGAGUGGAUAAAUGAAAAUGAAUAAAAUUUUUUACAAAGGUAAAAUAAAAUAGACAAUAAGACUGACAAAGGUAUUAAAUGAAUAAAGUAUGCUAAGGUCUGUCAUAUUUGGGGGAAAAAAUGGAAAUACUGUGUAGCAGGCAGAAAACUCCACCAAAAGACUCCUAGAUUUAAUAACCAAAUUCAGUAGUGAAGCAGGAUACAAAGUUAACACUUAAAAAUCAAUAGCAUUAAAAAAAAAUCAAUAGCAUUUCUGUACACAAAUAACAAACUCACUGAGAGAGAAAUUAGGAAAACAAUACCUUUCAGGGUAGCAGUAAGAAAAAUGAAACACUUAGGAAUCAAUCUAACAAGGGAAGUAAAAGACCUUCACAUUAAAAAAUUAUAAUACUCUGAAGAAGGAGAUGGAAGAGGAUAUGAGAAAAUGGAAAGAUAUCCCUUAUUCUUGGAUAGGAAGAAACAAUAUAGUGAAAAUGACCAUACUUCCAAAACUCUUGUACAGAUUUAAUGCAAUCCUGACCAAAAUACCAAUAACACACGUCAUAGAACUAGGGGAAAAAAAUCCUAAAAUCAAUUUGUAACCAGAAAAGACCUAAAUAGCAAAGGCAAUUCUGGGCAACAAAGGCAAGGCAUGGGCAUCACAAUUCCCAGCUUAAAAAUUAUACAAAGCUUCCAUGACAAGAAACAGCAUGGUACUGGCAAUAAAACAGACCCAAGGACCAAUGGAACAGGAGAUGCAAAAACAACUCCAAGCACACCCAGCUACCUUAUCUUUGACAAGAAGACCAAACACCUUCACUGGAAGAAAUAUAGCCUCUUUAAUAAACAGUGCUGGGAAAACUGGCUUUCCACAUGACAAAGAUUAAAACUAGACCCAUAUCUUUUACCAUCCACUAAACUAAAAUUGAGAUGAUCAAAGAUCUAAAUAUUAAAACAGAAACACUAAAUCUGCUAAAAGACAGAAAGAUGUCAUAGUAAAAAGCUUUUUCACAGCAAAAGAAACCACCAAAGGAAUGAAGAGAGAACUCAUAGAAUGGGAAACAAUUUUUAUCAGCUACUCCUCAGACAAAGGACUAAUACUAGAAUAUAUAAAGAACUAAAACAAGCAAAUCCGGACCCCUCCCAAGUUUAAAGACCCAACCCAAAAAUGGGCAUGUGAAAUGAGCAGACACUUCUCAGAUGAAGUACAAAUAGCCAAUAUAUAAAUGAAAAAAUGUUGAACAUCAUUGGUCAUUUGAGAGACACAAAGUGAAACAACACUGAGGUUCCAUCUCACUCCAGAAAGAAUGGCUAUCAUCAAUAAAUCAACCAGUAACAAAGGCUAUGGGGGAAAAGAAACCUUUCACUAUUUGUGGGAAUGCAAACUGGUACAACCAGUAUGGAAAUCAAUAUAGAGAUUCCUCAAAAACUGAAACUAGAGGUUCCAUUUGACCCAGGUACUACCCUUUUUGGUAUUUUCCCAAAAGAGUUAAAAGCAACAUACCACAGUGGUAUGUGCACACCUAUUUUAAUAGCAGCU
rnacentral:lncRNA from 1 species